CUGGCGGCGUGCCUAAUACAUGCAAGUCGAACGGUCUUUCUAUGGAAGCUUGCUUCCACUGAGAAGAUAGUGGCGAACGGGUGAGUAACACGUGGGUAACCUGCCCAUAAGAGGGGGAUAACAUCCGGAAACGGGUGCUAAUACCGCAUAGUUUUUCUUGAUCGCAUGAUUGAGAAAGGAAAGACGGCCUUUGUGCUGUCGCUUAUGGAUGGACCCGCGGCGUAUUAGUUAGUUGGUGAGGUAACGGCUCACCAAGACGAUGAUACGUAGCCGACCUGAGAGGGUGAUCGGCCACAUUGGGACUGAGACACGGCCCAAACUCCUACGGGAGGCAGCAGUAGGGAAUCUUCCGCAAUGGACGAAAGUCUGACGGAGCAACGCCGCGUGAGUGAAGAAGGUUUUUUCGGAUCGUAAAACUCUGUUGUCAGAGAAGAACAAGUUGGAGAGUAACUGCUCCAGCCUUGACGGUAUCUGACCAGAAAGCCACGGCUAACUACGUGCCAGCCGCUGC
rnacentral:rRNA from 1 species